rnacentral:lncRNA from 1 species
GUUCAUCAAUUAACUUUUAAAAAAAUAAAUAAAAAACGUUGAAUUAUGUCUCACAAAUUUGGCGUGCCGUGAUCGUAGUUAACUAUUAAUUAAUUAAUAAUAUGUGUAAACCUAAAAUAAUAAGUAAUAGUUGUUGUAUUGAAUCAUUGGAAAUGAAUGGGACAUAAUUUAAUUUUUAAUAAGAUACGUAUACAAGAGAAGGUGUUCGAAAAAGAAAUGAAAAAUAGUUAUGUUCAUAGUCUAUAAAAAGUGAAGCAAUUCAGCAUAUCUACAUCUGAAAUUCAACCCAGCCAUGGCCCCUUAUCGUUGCACCAUUUUUUCUUUAAUCUUUGCAAUUUUCUUUUCAACCAUGGACAUUACAUUAUUAGCAGCACGUCCAAUCACGUUCCGACCCUCGCGUGGAGGUGGAGCCCUCCCUCAGCCUCCAGUCCCUUGUCCACCGUUACUCCCACCUCUGCCGCCAUUUUCACCUCUGCCGCCACUCCCACCUCUGCCGCCACUCCCACCUCUGCCGCCACUUCCACCUCUGCCGCCACCGCCACUCCCUUCUCUCCCGCCACUUCCUCCUCUGUCUUAAUCAUAUUUGCCCAAGUCCCAUUCCUUUCUCCACCACAUUCAACCAACGUUCUACUUUGGAUUUCGAAAUUGGGUUCCUAUAUCAUUCGCUGCAUGCUUUGUUUGAAUUUCAAUAAGUGGUUUAUAUAAUGAUAGCAUAAAUUAUGUAACUUUUCUUUUUGGGUGUUCCAUUUCCAUUUCGCCUUUAAAUAUGUGUAUUUCUGUUGCACUUCUGCAUUACUUCAUGCAGUGCAUGUACCUAGAGCUGAUAGACUCUUUAC